UUUGUUACGCUGUCGGGACCCCUGACCGUUUGGCCAUUUUCAUUGUUUCUCCAUCUCGUCCAAAUCCGGUUCUAAGAGCUAAUACGGCGAAGCUCAUAAGAAAAUGAAAGAACACACAUUUCGAGGAGAACACAAAAAGACGCUCGUGUUCGUCAGUCGAUUUUCACGGGACACGAUCAAGUACAGGCGACGUCAUUCCGACCCAAUGUGGAUCCUUCGAACGGCCGUUUUUCUUCUUACUGUCGGCGUGAAUCACCGUUGGACAACGAACACCGUCCAAUCGUUUCCCACGCAGUUGGCCUAGUUAACUAUUAGUUAGCAUUUCUGUCAAUGUCUUAUCGCACCGUGAUUUUGUUUGAAUCGAGGGAAAGAGAGAAGAAGAGUGCGUUCUCAUUGAUUCCGUUGUUGUCGGGUCCCGAUCGAAUGCCAAUGGAAUGUUAUUUUGGGGGGGAAAAAAAAAUAAUAAUUUCUGGGCAAGGCAAAGAGGGAAAAAGGACUCGAGUCAAGUCAUGGUCGUGCCACGAAAAUCCGUUUUGAUACCUAUUAUUCAUCUUGUUCUUGUGUUAUUUUUCACAGUUCGUGUUUUUGUUCCGCGUCGGGAUCGAAAUGUGUCGCCGCAAACUGUCGGUGCGUGUAGCGAUUGGCGUGGCCCAAUCGAUUGGUCUCGAUACAGCGUGAACGGUAUGGGCUCAAAUGCUGCGCUCGGUAAGAUCACGAUCCGAUGAGUACGAUGAGAACGAAAGAGAAUAUGCGGGACUCAUCUUUUUUUCUAUUUCUGUCGUGUUUCUAAUUAUUUUCUCCUGGGCGUUUCAUCUUUUUUUUUUCCUAUCUUUCAUUUUCGCAUGUACAGCAUUUUUCUCGUUGUUUUGCUUUGUAUUCUUUUUCUUGUCACUCGUUCUUGUGGUGGUAGGUGGCACCGUACCCUUUGAACGAGAUGAGAGGCAUAUAACACGUGCAAUGAGGAGGGAGUUUGAUAGUAGAAAGAAGAAAAAAAGAGUCAAAAGAAGAAGAAGAAGAAUAGACCAAGGCCGACAUGCUGUGUGUUUGAAAACGACACGCCGAAUACAAUCGAUGGCCUUGCGUCUUGUACGUAAUUGAGGCCGUUUGAAUGUUUAAAACAUGAUCAUUUUGCUUGCAGUGGCGGUGGUGGUCUAUUGUUCGAUUGAUUAUUGCGGCGCAAUUCGAAAAGAAAAAGAUAAGGUCAUUUCUUUUUAUUCGAUUCUAAGAAAAUCUUCGCAAAGAUAACACGGGGUCAAGUUAAACUUGAAGUCUUAAAAGUUGGUAAUGUAGAUAAAUUAAUUUUUAAACAUUUUUUUAGCACUUUUCGUGAUGCCAUUUUGCUUUUUUCCAAACACAAAAAAAAUUUCGUGGCAGAGGAAAAUGUGUUAACUUUGAUGAGGCAAUUAAAUUCAGGUGCUCCUGAGCGGAUGCUAUAUAAUAUCGAUAGUUUUUCUGGUGUUUAAAUGUUUUCUGGUCGAUGUUUGUUGGCUCUUCCAGCAGCGCCUCUUCCUUUAUUUUGUUUUUUGGCACAUCUUUCCUCGACCUUUUUGGGGGUGUCUGCCCUUUCUCCGUUUUUCUGUUUUAUUGCCGUGCUCGUUUUUUAUACUGUAGAAACGGCAACAAAAUAAAAGAAAGAAGAUGGGGAAAAAA
rnacentral:lncRNA from 1 species